rnacentral:rRNA from 1 species
UACGUAGGCAGCAAGCGUUGUUCGGAAUUACUGGGCGUAAAGAGUGUGUAGGCGGUGCUCUAAGUUCGGUGUGAAAUCUCCCGGCUCAACUGGGAGGGUGCGCCGAAAAACUGGAGUGCUGGAGCGCGGGAGAGGAAAGCGGAAGUUCCUGGUGUAGCGGUGAAAUGCGUAGAUAUCAGGAGGAACACCGGCGGUGUAGACGGCUUUCUGGGACCGUAGCUGACGCUGAGACACGAAAGCGUGGGUAGCAAACAGG